ensembl:lncRNA
AUAUCAUGUUUAGGUACAAAUUCCCCAUGACAAAUGUGAUCAUUGUAUUAAUAAAAAUGUUUUUGUCAACUAAGUUUCCUGGUUCCAUUAAUACUGUGCUUCUCCCAACUAUCUGUUGCUGCUGCUUGACUCUAAGAAAACCAAUGGCCCCUAAGUGAUUUGAGUGAAGAGACAUUUGGACCAAAGGUGACAGGGUUCACAGAGGGUCUUGAGGGGAUGAACCUCAAGAAUGGCAAAUGAGCUCCGAUUCAGCAAGGUCAGAGACUCUUUUAAUGUUUGAGGAUGAAUUUUCCCACAAAAGUAACAUUUCUUAUAAUAAAACUAAGACAUCAUAAUAAGGUAUAAAAUAGAAAUUAUUUUAAACAUCGUAUUAGCCAUAUUACAUCAAAGCAGAACUUUUAGUAAUUUGAUGGGAUCUGCUUGUCUUUUAUUCUUCCCUGAAGACAGGCUUUGGAGUUUAACCUUUUUCUUUUUUAAUGCAGAAUCCAGUUGAAAAAAUAAUUUUGAUUUCUGCUUUAUUUUCCAUCCAAGUAUAUGAUAAUAUAUUGUUACCAAGCAGACUUCAUGAAUACCCACUUACUCAUUCAGAUAAUAUUUGGCAGGUAUUUCCUCUCUUGGUAGAAAUGGUGGCCCUGGAUUUCUACAAUAAUCAUGACAAAAACUGACGAAAAUCCCUCUUCUGUAGGACAAUGCACCAUAACUUGGGAAUAAAGCGCCUAAGGUAUGGUUUUGUUAAACAGACAUCUAAUAAACAAGAAUGGUGACAUUGUUCAUCUCUGUCUCUACAUCCUCUGGACAAGACAAGGCUGGGGAUGGUGGAGUGUGACUGUGGCCCCAAUUCCACCAGAGGCUGAGAAGAAAGCACCGUGAGUUCAAUACCAGCUUGGGCAAUACAGUGAGAGUGUUUCUUAGAGAAAACAAUGGAGCACCCUUGCUUAGUAUGGUGAAGAUCUUGGUUUCCAUCUCCAGCACUGCAAAAAAAUAAAAUACUCAAUGUUGCAGGAGUAAGAUAGUACUCAUAAAAGACAAAUAUUCUGCUUAGUCACCUCUUUGUGGGAUUCCAGGGAUGAACGCAUGUUCACUUAAGGAAAACCUCGAGGAGUAAGAAUGUAAGAACAUUUGUUCUUAACUCAAAAUUCUCUUCCACUCGAACUGAAAGAAGUCUUGGAGGCCCCAUGAUGCAUUUUAGCUUAGGCUUGACCCUGUUUUCAGUAUCCUGGAGAAAUGGCCAACCCUUAACCUCCCAGGACAAGAAACAUGGAUAUGCAGGAUCACAGAUCCUCAGAUGGAAACUUGAGCAAGUGAAUUCCACCCUCUGAAAUACCUGUCUGCACGUUAUGAGGAUUUAUCUCAUUUAUCCCUGGGAUAUUUUCUGUCAAAUCCCCACAGAAGCACCUUCUAGAUCCUCUGUAAGUCUCGGUAUUAAGCAAGUGCAAAAACUGGGCCAGCUUCUGAAGUUCAACAUCAACUCUCGUUCUCUUUUUCCAAUCUCAAGGCCCUGCAGCCAUAUUAUUAGACUUUCUAUCUCCAUGAGUUGACUCGCAGGUGCAGAACAGAGGUUCUUAGACCUCCCAGGAG